AAUGAACGUUGGCGGCGUGGAUUAGGCAUGCAAGUCGUACGGGCCAGCAAUGGCCAGUGGCGAAAGGGAGAGGAAUACGCAGGUAUCUACCUCCGGGUCGGGGAUAGCCACGGGAAACUGUGGGUAAUACCCGAUAACGUCUCCGGACCAAAGGUGUGAUUCCACCUGGAGAGGAGCCUGCGUCCUAUUAGCUAGUUGGUGAGGUAAUGGCUCACCAAGGCUACGAUGGGUACGGGGUGUGAGAGCAUGCCCCCGCUCACUGGGACUGAGACACUGCCCAGACACCUACGGGUGGCUGCAGUCGAGAAUCUUCCGCAAUGGGCGCAAGCCUGACGGAGCGACGCCGCGUGUGGGAUGAAGGCCUUCGGGUUGUAAACCACUGUCGUAGAGGAGGAAGGACCGGUGCAGAGCCGGUUUUGACCUAUUCUAGGAGGAAGGGUGGGCUAAGUUCGUGCCAGCAGCCGCCGUAAAAC
rnacentral:rRNA from 1 species